CACGUAGGGGACGAGCGUUGUCCGGAUUCAUUGGGCGUAAAGCGCGCGUAGGCGGCUCGGAAAGUCGGUCGUGAAAUGCCGGGGCUCAACCCCGGGACUGCGUCCGAUACUCUCGAGCUGGAGGCAGGUAGGGGAGAUCGGAAUUCCUGGUGUAGCGGUGAAAUGCGCAGAUAUCAGGAGGAACACCGGUGGCGAAGGCGGCAUCCUGGACCAACACUGACGCUGAGUGAGCGAAGGCCAGGGGAGCAAACGGG
rnacentral:rRNA from 1 species